GUGCAAAAAUAUGGGCUACCCUCGGUAGCAUUGGGUAUGUGAGUGUGCCAAGUAUGAAACAGUUGAAGCUUAAGAGAGCAACUGCAUCAGAAGCAGGUUUGUUCUUUAUGGUAGAGAAAAACUGAACCACACUUUUCAGUGACAUGCCAACAACAGCAAAAAGAGCUACCACAAGGGGCAUACAGGGGUCUUCAGCCUCCCAGAUAAUGAUUCCAACCAAAAGGGAUAACACUGCACUGAAAACAGACUGUGAAAGUGCAACAUCCAUUCUCUGACCCAGACCCUCAU
rnacentral:misc_RNA from 1 species